GACCCUCGUGUCCUAAACCGCCGGGCGGGCGCGCCGUGGUACCUCCCCCGCCACCCACCCACUCAGGGCCGCCGGGGUCACAUGGGUGUCCGGGCCCCUUCGGCGCGCGGGCCAGGCCGCGUCACGG